rnacentral:rRNA from 1 species
AGAGUUUGAUCCUGGCUCAGGACGAACGCUGGCGGCGCGCCUAACACAUGCAAGUCGAACGAGCGAGAGAGAGCUUGCUUUCUCGAGCGAGUGGCGAACGGGUGAGUAACGCGUGAGGAACCUGCCUCAAAGAGGGGGACAACAGUUGGAAACGACUGCUAAUACCGCAUAAGCCCACGGCUCGGCAUCGAGCAGAGGGAAAAGGAGCAAUCCGCUUUGAGAUGGCCUCGCGUCCGAUUAGCUAGUUGGUGAGGUAACGGCCCACCAAGGCGACGAUCGGUAGCCGGACUGAGAGGUUGAACGGGCACAUUGGGACUGAGACACGGCCCAGACUCCUACGGGAGGCAGCAGUGGGGAAUAUUGCACAAUGGGGGAAACCCUGAUGCAGUGACGCCGCGUGGAGGAAGAAGGUCUUCGGAUUGUAAACUCCUGUUGUUGGGGAAGAUAAUGACGGUACCCAACAAGGAAGUGACGGCUAACUACGUGCCAGCAGCCGCGGUAAAACGUAGGUCACAAGCGUUGUCCGGAAUUACUGGGUGUAAAGGGAGCGCAGGCGGGAAGACAAGUUGGAAGUGAAAUCUAUGGGCUCAACCCAUAAACUGCUUUCAAAACUGUUUUUCUUGAGUAGUGCAGAGGUAGGCGGAAUUCCCGGUGUAGCGGUGGAAUGCGUAGAUAUCGGGAGGAACACCAGUGGCGAAGGCGGCCUACUGGGCACCAACUGACGCUGAGGCUCGAAAGUGUGGGUAGCAAACAGGAUUAGAUACNCUGGUAGUCCACACCGUAAACGAUGAUUACCAGGUGUUGGAGGAUUGACCCCUUCAGUGCCGCAGUUAACACAAUAAGUAAUCCACCUGGGGAGUACGACCGCAAGGUUGAAACUCAAAGGAAUUGACGGGGGCCCGCACAAGCAGUGGAGUAUGUGGUUUAAUUCGACGCAACGCGAAGAACCUUACCAAGUCUUGACAUCCCUUGACGAUGCUGGAAACAGUAUUUCUCUUCGGAGCAAGGAGACAGGUGGUGCAUGGUUGUCGUCAGCUCGUGUCGUGAGAUGUUGGGCUAAGUCCCGCAACGAGCGCAACCCUUAUGGUCAGUUACUACGUAAGAGGACUCUGGCCAGACUGCCGUUGACAAAACGGAGGAAGGUGGGGAUGACGUCAAAUCAUCAUGCCCUUUAUGACUUGGGCUGCACACGUACUACAAUGGCGUUAAACAAAGAGAAGCAAGACCGCGAGGUGGAGCAAAACUCAGAAACAACGUCCCAGUUCGGACUGCAGGCUGCAACCCGCCUGCACGAAGUCGGAAUUGCUAGUAAUCGUGGAUCAGCAUGCCACGGUGAAUACGUUCNCCGGGCCCUUGUACACACCGCCCGUNNC